rnacentral:rRNA from 1 species
AGCGAACGCUGGCGGCAUGCCUAACACAUGCAAGUCGAGCGCUCCCAGCAAUGGGGGAGCGGCGGACGGGUGAGUAACGCGUAGGAACGUAUCCUGAGGUGGGGGAUAACCCUGGGAAACUAGGGCUAAUACCGCAUGAUGGCGAGAGCCCAAAGAUUUAUCGCCUUGGGAGCGGCCUGCGUCUGAUUAGCUUGUUGGUGGGGUAACGGCCUACCAAGGCGAUGAUCAGUAGCUGGUCUGAGAGGAUGAUCAGCCACACUGGGACUGAGACACGGCCCAGACUCCUACGGGAGGCAGCAGUGGGGAAUAUUGGACAAUGGGCGAAAGCCUGAUCCAGCAAUGCCGCGUGGAUGAAGAAGGUCUUCGGAUUGUAAA